rnacentral:rRNA from 1 species
CCUACGGGAGGCAGCAGUGAGGAAUAUUGGUCAAUGGCCGGAAGGCUGAACCAGCCAAGCCGCGUGAAGGACGAAGGUGCCAAGCAUUGUAAACUUCUUUUGUCAAGGGACAAAAUCAGGCUCGAGAGCCUGACCGAGGGUACUUGAAGAAAAAGCAUCGGCUAACUCUGUGCCAGCAGCCGCGGUAAUACGGGGGAUGAGAGCGUUGUCCGGAUUUAGUGGGUUAAGGGGGUGCGUAGGCGGGCUGUUAAGUCAGCGGGAAACACCCGGGGCUAAACCCCGGCGUGCCGUUGAAACUGGCUGUCUUGAGAGGACGAGAGGUAUGCGGAAUGCGCAGUGUAGCGGUGAAAUGCUUAGAUAUUGCGCAGAACUCCGGUUGCGAAGGCAGCAUACCGGCGGCGAUCUGACGCUGAGGCACGAAAGCGUGGGUAGCGAACAGGAUUAGAUACCCCGGUAGUC